rnacentral:pre_miRNA from 1 species
GUAGAGGAGAUGGCGCAAGGGACACAAACGAAGACUUGGGGGUUCCUGGGACCUUCAGACAUAUGUCCUCUUCUCCCCCCUCCCAG